rnacentral:rRNA from 1 species
GACGAACGCUGGCGGCGUGCUUAACACAUGCAAGUCGAACGGAAAGGCCCUGCUUUUGUGGGGUGCUCGAGUGGCGAACGGGUGAGUAACACGUGAGUAACCUGCCCUUGUCUUUGGGAUAACUUCAGGUAACUGUGGCUAAUACCGGAUAGGAGCUCCUGCUGCAUGGUGGGGGUUGGAAAGUUUCGGCGGUUGGGGAUGGACUCGCGGCUUAUCAGCUUGUUGGUGGGGUAGUGGCUUACCAAGGCUUUGACGGGUAGCCGGCCUGAGAGGGUGACCGGCCACAGUGCUACUGAAAGACGCCACAGACUCCGACAGAGGGCAGAAAUGAGGGAUAUGGCACAAGGAACAGGACCCUGAUGCAGCAACGCCGAGUGCGCGAAGACGUCCUUCAUGUUGCACUCUGCUCUACCCUGUAACCACCCCUAAAUGACCGUACCCGGUAAAGAAGCAACGGCUCACUACGUG